rnacentral:rRNA from 1 species
AUUGAACGCUGGCGGCAUGCCUUACACAUGCAAGUCGAACGGCAGCACGGGAGCAAUCCUGGUGGCGAGUGGCGAACGGGUGAGUAAUAUAUCGGAACGUGCCCAGUCUGGGGGAUAACGCAGCGAAAAGUUUGUGCUAAUACCGCAUACGAUCUAUGGAUGAAAGGCGGGGGAUCGCAAGACCUCGCGCGAUUGGAGCGGCCGAUAUCAGAUUAGGUUGUUGGUGAGGUAAAGCUCACCAAGCCUGCGAUCUGUAGCUGGUCUGAGAGGACGACCAGCCACACUGGAACUGAGACACGGUCCAGACUCCUACGGGAGGCAGCAGUGGGGAAUUUUGGACAAUGGACGAAAGUCUGAUCCAGCAAUGCCGCGUGCAGGACGAAGGCCUU